rnacentral:rRNA from 1 species
AGAGUUUGAUCCUGGCUCAGAACGAACGCUGGCGGCAGGCUUAACACAUGCAAGUCGAACGCACCGCAAGGUGAGUGGCAGACGGGUGAGUAACGCGUGGGAACGUGCCCUUCAGUUCGGGAUAACCCAGGGAAACUUGGGCUAAUACCGGAUACGUGCGAGAGCAGAAAGAUUGAUCGCUGAAGGAUCGGCCCGCGUCUGAUUAGCUAGUUGGUAGGGUAAUGGCCUACCAAGGCGACGAUCAGUAGCUGGUCUGAGAGGAUGAUCAGCCACAUUGGGACUGAGACACGGCCCAAACUCCUACGGGAGGCAGCAGUGGGGAAUAUUGGACAAUGGGCGCAAGCCUGAUCCAGCCAUGCCGCGUGAGUGAUGAAGGCCUUAGGGUUGUAAAGCUCUUUCGGCGGGGACGAUAAUGACGGUACCCGCAGAAGAAGCCCCGGCUAACUUCGUGCCAGCAGCCGCGGUAAUACGAAGGGGGCUAGCGUUGUUCGGAAUCACUGGGCGUAAAGGGCGCGUAGGCGGCCUGAUAAGUCGGGGGUGAAAGCCUGUGGCUCAACCACAGAAUUGCCUUCGAUACUGUCGGGCUUGAGACCGGAAGAGGUAAGUGGAACUGCGAGUGUAGAGGUGAAAUUCGUAGAUAUUCGCAAGAACACCAGUGGCGAAGGCGGCUUACUGGUCCGGUUCUGACGCUGAGGCGCGAAAGCGUGNNNAGCAAACAGGAUUAGAUACCCUUGUAGUCC